ensembl:lncRNA
GCGCAGUGGAGAAGAAGCAGGAACCCGUUGUGUUUUACUUCCUCCUGACGGGUAUCGAGCAUCGGGACCGUUAAGCCCGUCUUCCUUGUUUACAUAGAUGCUUCGAUUUACUCACUGGCUUUACUAGGUGUUUUCGCACCUCACCGGAGCACACGUUGCCUGGCCUGCAGAUCGGACGGUCGCGCGAUCGUAGCUCUUCCGUGUGAAGAUGCCACACUGCUGGGCCACGACGUAAUGCGAGUUUGAAUCAUUCAAUCAAUCCGGCUCGAUCGGUAUCGAUAAGGCAGCGCUGGGCCGCUUGUCAUGGAGGCGGGUCUCUCCGUGGCGCUGCUCAGGGACCAGCUGGGCGCCGUGAUCGAGCAGGCGGUGACCGCCGCAGUGGAGACCGUUCUGGGCGAGAUGGCGCGGCUGGUGGGCAGUAAGUUCGAGGAGUUCCGCAAGGAGAUGUCGGCCAAGGAGAAAGAGAACGAGAGCAUCAAGCAGAUGCUGGAGAUCUCGCGUUGCCAGAUGAAGACGCUGCGGAAGUACCUGAGCGCCGUGGGGGCCAAGGAGGAGCGGCAGCUUCCGGGAAGCCGCAGCAGGAGCGGGCAGCAGAGCUGUGGGCCCCUGGGGGAGCUGCAGGGCCCCCCCGCCGCUCCCGCCGCCCCUCCUCCCCCCCCUGUGAACCGGCCGAAGGGCCCCGGCAGGGCGGCCCCGCCGUGGGACAGAGGGCCCUCCAAGUUCCCAACGAGCCAGGGACCGUCGGGGGAGGGAGCGCACGGCUCCCCUGGUGGGCCCUCCCUUCUGAAAGGUGUGAGCGAAGGGGCCGCUGCAGCUCUGUGCCUUUCGUGUGCCCUGUUCUGCUCCUACUGCUCUCUCACUCUCGCGUGUCCUCUCCUGCUUCUCUUCUUUCUGCCCAUCCCAGCGGAGGGGCCUCCAGAGGGCCAUGGCGGGCCGUGCCUCAGGAACCAGGGGGGGCGCGAAGCCGCAGGGGGCGCGAAGCCGCCGGCUGCAGCGCAGGAGGGGCGUCUGGAAGCCCCGUGUUCGAACCCUUCACCGGUUUCUAAGGCCGCCGUCCUCCCGGCAGCGGACACGGGCUCCCAGACGGCGUGGGGCACCUCGCUUCAGCCCAAGAAGGAAGAGGAGGAGGAGGGGGCGGACAUCGACGUCAUCUGUAUCAAGGAGGAGCCCGAAGAGCUCGAGGCGUGUUCCCUGGAGCCCCGGCGGUGUCCAGCAUCUGAGGUCUCUGACCAGGGCAGCGAUCUGGCAGAUCAGCAGGACGGUGCUCUGCCUCCCGUCGUGCCCUCGGAGGAGCUGAUGGCAGCCUUCACUCUAGUGAGCCCUGGUACAUAUCCGGACGUGCGUAGCUCACUGGCCGGACCCCUGCAGCAGACCCGGCGGCGCCAGUGGCUCGGCGACGCUUGCGAGGACUACAGGCACCGCAAAGCUGAGCUGAAGCGCCGCAGCCAGCACCGGAGGAGGGAGUUGGAGAAGAACCUACCACAGCCGCUGCUGAAUGCCUUGGUCAGGGAGCGCAGGGAGAAGACCCGGCUGAGGGUGGCUCGCUGGAGGGCCAAGCGCAAGCUGCAGGCCAGCCUCAUGGCAGCGGAUGCGGCACAGUUCAGCUGCCCCCCCAUGCAGACAGUGCAUGGGCAACGCAGCGACCCGCUCCGCUGUCAGCAGCAGCCCAUCGGCGUCCCACAGUUCAGUGGCCUCCUGUACAGCAAUGCGCACAGCGACAGCGGCGCACAUUAUCCCGGUUUGCAGUUCAACUCUCACCCGCUGUUACCCGGACUCAGGCACAACAUAGCAAAUGCGGUCAUGCAGCCCGGGGUGAUGUCCUCCACGCAGCAGGCCAUGCUGGGAGCAGAUGUCCUCAGAACUGAACCUUCGGGGCCACCAGAAGCUACCGGUGGGCUGACAGCUGGGAUUCUCAAACCAUAACAGCAGCUGCAGGUCCACAGCACACAAGUACUCUGAGGAAAGUGCAGGUCUACUAUAGAAAGUUUAGGGUUAGGCAGAAAUCUGACUUAUUUCCUCAAUCAUGUGUAGAACUGAAGAAAAAUGGCAGCACUGCUGUCUCCUGGCUGAAAUGUGGAACUUUAAGCAUUAAUUGACAUUAACGGACACUAAAACUGGCAUUUUUAUGGUAAUGAUCGAUGGCCUAAACUUCAAGGGCGGAUUUUUAACAAAUUUCAAGUUGUGUUUCUUAUAAUGUGUUCCACAUUUGUUGAUUAAAAAUCCUAACAAAAUGAUGCGUGUGCUGUGUAACAAUGACAGUGAAUUUCAAUUCAGUUUAUUUUUAUAGAGCGCUCUUCUCAUGCAGUGACACAGUGUGCUUUAACAUGCACGUAAGAAAGUAAACCCAUGAGCUCAUCAGUAUUUCUUUCCCCUGAUGAUGAUCUCACAUUAGGCUACUGUCCACUAAUACUGUACACACAAACUGUGACUGAGACCAGGCCGAGUGGGUGGAAUGGGUUUAUGAAAAUAUGCUUCCCAAAUAAACUACUGCUUUCACCUAUAAUUAUGGGAAGG